GAGGGUAUAGCUCAGUGGUAGAGUGCAUGCUUAGCAUGCAUGAGGUCCUGGGUUCUGUCCCUAGUACUUCCA
rnacentral:tRNA from 1 species